rnacentral:lncRNA from 1 species
GGGAACCUGGCUGUGUGAGAGCGCGGAGUGGCUCUCGCCAUUCCCGUGCCAGCUGUCCCCUCGCCAUCUCGGAGAAGGCCACCAGGCUGGCGCCUCCGACUCCUGCUCUGUUGACCAGGGGCCGCUUUUGUAGGCGGAGGAGGUUGCCCAGGAGUCCCUGGAGCUGUGGGCUCCUGCGGUCCCAGCGGAGGAGUGGGACAAUGAAGCCUCCUGAGAAGAUGCAGGCUGAUGGUUUCGGGUCCAGCAACACCCAUUCUGGUCUUUCCACUGAAGAGCGCUGCUUGGUGAGGGCUGCUGUGAAGGAGACGUUUGUCUGAGUGUUAACAUCUGAUGAAAAUGGUCCUUCCUAUGGAUUUGGGGCUGCACGUGGGAAAUCCCAGAGCCAGAUGGCUGAGAGGUGCCGUCUGUCUCCCUGCGGAGCGGGGUGCCGGCGGGAUGAGGCUCCAGCUGCACGGUUCCUCAUGACUCGGGGAACUGGGAAGAUGCUGUUUAGCUUUACACCACGUGCAGUGGGAACAGCCAUUCACGUUCCGUACGGUCUGGUGGAUGUCUUCGGGUGAGACCUUCUCCAGGGACCGCUCUACCUUUUCCGUCCAGCUGUUCCCGUAGCAGCAGCAAAUGGCAGUUGAACGCUGCCCGCCACUCGUGGGUGUUGCGUGCUGCUCCUCAGAUGCUCUUGCUGGAGCCGGCCCCCAGCACCCCGUGGCCAUCCCAUGCAUCCGGGUGAGGUAAGUGUAUACAGCCCCGAGUUUGAUGCUGGUUC